rnacentral:misc_RNA from 1 species
UCCGGUUUGUCACCGGCAGUCUCCCUACAUGUCAAACCCAGGUAAGGUUCUUCGCGUUGCCUCGAAUUAAGCAACAUGCUCCGCCGCUUGUGCGGGCCCCCGUCAAUUCCUUUGAGUUUUAGCCUUGCGGCCGUACUCCCCAGGCGGGGCACUUAAUGCGUUAGCUACGGCACGGAAACCGUUGGAGGGUCCCCACACCUAGUGCCCAACGUUUACGGCGUGGACUAC